GUGCCAGCAGCCGCGGUAAUACGUAGGUGGCAAGCGUUAUCCGGAAUUAUUGGGCGUAAAGCGCGCGUAGGCGGUUUUUUAAGUCUGAUGUGAAAGCCCACGGCUCAACCGUGGAGGGUCAUUGGAAACUGGAAAACUUGAGUGCAGAAGAGGAAAGUGGAAUUCCAUGUGUAGCGGUGGAAUGCGCAGAGAUAUGGAGGAACACCAGUGGCGAAGGCGACUUUCUGGUCUGUAACUGACGCUGAUGUGCGAAAGCGUGGGGAUCAAACAGGAUUAGAUA
rnacentral:rRNA from 1 species